AUGAUCGAGGAGGAGGUGGUCGCGCUCGGCCGGGGCAUCUGGGCGCACUUCGUCUACAAGGUGCGCUCCGGGGUCCGCCGCCUCGUCGCGUCCGACCAGCUGCUGCUCACCACGCAAUGCCUCAGGGGCGCCUCGCUGCCCCCGUUCCGGCGGACGGGCGGUGGUGCCGAGCAGGCCGGCGCGGCGGGACGAGCUGCAAGGGCGGGGCACGCGGGCCGAGCUGCAGGCGCGCGCGGCGGCAGUGUGAGUUGCCGCCGAGCUCGCACAGCUCCGGGUCGCCUCCAAGCUCGCGCUGCCGCCGCUGCAGUCCACCUCUGGGUUGUUUCCAAGCUCGCGCCGACAGGGAGGGAGGGGGAGGACGCUGGACGGCGGCGAGCGGCGCCGUGGUGA
rnacentral:rRNA from 1 species